rnacentral:rRNA from 1 species
UACAGAGGGUGCGAGCGUUAAUCGGAAUUACUGGGCGUAAAGCGUGCGUAGGCGGUGAGUUAAGUCUGUCGUGAAAUCCCCGGGCUCAACCUGGGAAUGGCGAUGGAUACUGGCUCGCUAGAGUGUGAUAGAGGAUGGUGGAAUUCCCGGUGUAGCGGUGAAAUGCGUAGAGAUCGGGAGGAACAUCAGUGGCGAAGGCGGCCAUCUGGAUCAACACUGACGCUGAGGCACGAAAGCGUGGGGAGCAAACAGG